UAGAGUUUGAUCCUGGCUCAGAAUGAACGCUAGCUACAGGCUUAACACAUGCAAGUCGAGGGGCAGCAUGGUCUUAGCUUGCUAAGACUGAUGGCGACCGGCGCACGGGUGAGUAACACGUAUCCAACCUGCCGUCUACUCUUGGACAGCCUUCUGAAAGGAAGAUUAAUACAAGAUGGCAUCAUGAGUCCACAUGUUCACAUGAUUAAAGGUAUUCCGGUAGACGAUGGGGAUGCGUUCCAUUAGAUAGUAGGCGGGGUAACGGCCCACCUAGUCUUCGAUGGAUAGGGGUUCUGAGAGGAAGGUCCCCCACAUUGGAACUGAGACACGGUCCAAACUCCUACGGGAGGCAGCAGUGAGGAAUAUUGGUCAAUGGGCGAGAGCCUGAACCAGCCAAGUAGCGUGAAGGAUGACUGCCCUAUGGGUUGUAAACUUCUUUUAUAAAGGAAUAAAGUCGGGUAUGCAUACCCGUUUGCAUGUACUUUAUGAAUAAGGAUCGGCUAACUCCGUGCCAGCAGCCGCGGUAAUACGGAGGAUCCGAGCGUUAUCCGGAUUUAUUGGGUUUAAAGGGAGCGUAGAUGGAUGUUUAAGUCAGUUGUGAAAGUUUGCGGCUCAACCGUAAAAUUGCAGUUGAUACUGGAUAUCUUGAGUGCAGUUGAGGCAGGCGGAAUUCGUGGUGUAGCGGUGAAAUGCUUAGAUAAUCACGAAGAACUCCGAUGCGAAGGCAGCCUGCUAAGCUGCAAACUGACAUUGAGGCUCGAAAAGUGUGGGUAUCAAACAGGAUUAGAUACCCUGGUAGUCCACACGGUAAACGAUGAAUACUCGCUGUUUGCGAUAUACGGCAAGCGGCCAAGCGAAAGCGUUAAGUAUUCCACCUGGGGAGUACGCCGGCAACGGUGAAACUCAAAGGAAUUGACGGGGGCCCGCACAAGCGGAGGAACAUGUGGUUUAAUUCGAUGAUACGCGAGGAACCUUACCCGGGCUUAAAUUGCAGAUGAAUUACGGUGAAAGCCGUAAGCCGCAAGGCAUCUGUGAAGGUGCUGCAUGGUUGUCGUCAGCUCGUGCCGUGAGGUGUCGGCUUAAGUGCCAUAACGAGCGCAACCCUUGUUGUCAGUUACUAACAGGUCAUGCUGAGGACUCUGACAAGACUGCCAUCGUAAGAUGUGAGGAAGGUGGGGAUGACGUCAAAUCAGCACGGCCCUUACGUCCGGGGCUACACACGUGUUACAAUGGGGGGUACAGAGGGCCGCUACCACGCGAGUGGAUGCCAAUCCCCAAAACCUCUCUCAGUUCGGACUGGAGUCUGCAACCCGACUCCACGAAGCUGGAUUCGCUAGUAAUCGCGCAUCAGCCACGGCGCGGUGAAUACGUUCCCGGGCCUUGUACACACCGCCCGUCA
rnacentral:rRNA from 1 species